AGGUCACUGACAUUAGAUACCCGCGUAGUCCAGGGUGUAAACGCUGCAGACUUGGUGUUGGGAACCCUUCGGGGGUGCUCAGUGCCGGAGAGAAGUUGUUAAGUCUGCUACUUGGGGAGUACGUCCGCAAGGAUGAAACUUAAAGGAAUUGGCGGGGGAGCACCGCAACGGGAGGAGCGUGCGGUUUAAUUGGAUUCAACGCCGAAAAACUCACCAGCAGCGACUGUUACAUGAAAGUCAGGUUGAUGACCUUACUAGAUUUUCAG
rnacentral:rRNA from 1 species